CCUACGGGUGGCAGCAGUGGGGAAUAUUGGACAAUGGGGGCAACCCUGAUCCAGCCAUGCCGCGUGUGUGAAGAAGGCCCUCGGGUUGUAAAGCACUUUCAGUGAGGAAGAACGCCUGGUGGUUAAUACCCAUCAGGAAAGACAUCACUCACAGAAGAAGCACCGGCUAACUCCGUGCCAGCAGCCGCGGUAAUACGGAGGGUGCGAGCGUUAAUCGGAAUUACUGGGCGUAAAGCGCGCGUAGGUGACUUGAUAAGCCGGUUGUGAAAGCCCCGGGCUCAACCUGGGAACGGCAUCCGGAACUGUCAAGCUAGAGUGCAGGAGAGGAAGGUAGAAUUCCCGGUGUAGCGGUGAAAUGCGUAGAGAUCGGGAGGAAUACCAGUGGCGAAGGCGGCCUUCUGGACUGACACUGACACUGAGGUGCGAAAGCGUGGGUAGCAAACAGGAUUAGAUACCCGGGUAGUC
rnacentral:rRNA from 1 species